GUUUAUUUGGGUUAUUCAAGUUGUUUUUGGUCAAUUUACUGGUCCAGUUUAAUUUAGAGUAUCUCUGGACUGUGGAAUCAAUUUCUGGGCUGCUGUUAUUUGUUAUCUGCUGCAUAACACUAUUUAUUGUUGGCUACUGCUGGUUGUCGAUGCACCGCUUUUCCCUCUUUAAAAGAAAGUGAUCGGGUUUUACGACAUUAUGGGAAAAACAACUCUAAUUCCCGUUUGGGAAUUGGGUUAUGGAAUUGGAGGAGUCGCCACC
rnacentral:lncRNA from 1 species